CAUUUUAUAGCAUGCAUGCCUU
rnacentral:piRNA from 1 species